UUUAUAUGUUUAACUAUGGCAUUAGGAAGUUUAAUCUAACUUAAUCGCAUAAAGAUUUUGUAUUGGUGGAGCAGAAUUUUUUUUAAUUUGUUCAAUUAGCGGUUAAUUCUUUAUUUAGGCGUAAGCCUUUUAGGAGGUUAGAUUAUAUUAGGGGGAAAGGCGCAGUGCCAGCACCCGCGGUUAUUCUGUUUUCUUUGCUUUCUGAUAGCGUGGGUUGGUAUAUUUGUUUUUAAGGUUAGGUGAAAUUUUCUUAAUUUAGGGACAGUUAUACUGGUUGUGGAUAAGUAGUUUGUGUAAGAAAAGGAUUAGAGACCCUUUUAUUUGAUUAUUUAAUUUACGUUUAGUAGAAACUAAAAAAGUUUGGCAGUGAGUCAUUUCCAUUCGGGGGAAGAUGUAUGUUAAAGGACGAUCCUCCAAUUAAUAGACCUUGGUUAUGUUGGUGUAUAUCUGGUUGAAUAUUAACGUUUAGUAACUUGAGUUUGUGUAGUAAGAUUUAAGCCAAGUCUAUGUGCUGCAUACUAAGGGCCUAUAUGUGUUACAUUUAUAACAUAAGUUUUGUGAUUAAACUUAUUUUUAGGACUCGAUAGUAAUAUUCAAUUAGUUUGUGGGUGUGAAUAAGGUUUGACUCAGGUACACACCGCCCGUCACUCUCGGCUAUUGCUGAGAUAAGUCGUAACAAGGUAGCCCCAGAUGAAUCUGGGGCUAGUUACUUUAAAGAUUUGUUAGUUAAAGUGUUA
rnacentral:rRNA from 1 species